UACGUAGGGGGCAAGCGUUGUCCGGAAUCAUUGGGCGUAAAGCGCGCGUAGGCGGCCCUGUAAGUCCGUUGUGAAAGUCAAAGGCUCAACCUUUGAAAGCCGAUGGAUACUGCAGGGCUAGAGUCCGGAAGAGGCGAGUGGAAUUCCUGGUGUAGCGGUGGAAUGCGCAGAUAUCAGGAGGAACACCGGUGGCGAAGGCGGGUCUCUGGGCCAUAACUGACGCUGAGGAGCGAAAGCGUGGGGAGCGAACAGG
rnacentral:rRNA from 1 species